AGUGAACGCUGGCGGUAGGCCUAACACAUGCAAGUCGAACGGCAGCACAGAGGAGCUUGCUCCUUGGGUGGCGAGUGGCGGACGGGUGAGGAAUACAUCGGAAUCUACUCUGUCGUGGGGGAUAACGUAGGGAAACUUACGCUAAUACCGCAUACGACCUACGGGUGAAAGCAGGGGACCUUCGGGCCUUGCGCGAUUGAAUGAGCCGAUGUCGGAUUAGCUAGUUGGCGGGGUAAAGGCCCACCAAGGCGACGAGCCGUAGCUGGGCUGAGAGGAUAGGCAGCCACACUGGAACUGAGACAGGGUCCAGACUCCUACGGGAGGCAGCAGUGGGGAAUAUUGGACAAUGGGCGCAAGCCUGAUCCAGCCAUACCGCGUGGGUGAAGAAGGCCUUCGGGUUGUAAAGCCCUUUUGUUGGGAAAGAAAUCCAGCUGGCUAAUACCCGGUUGGGAUGACGGUACCCAAAGAAUAAGCACCGGCUAACUUCGUGCCAGCCGCCGCAGUAA
rnacentral:rRNA from 1 species